rnacentral:rRNA from 1 species
GCCGGAGGGAAACCGAGUCUUAAUUGGGCGUUAAGUUGCAGGGUAUAGACCCGAAACCCGGUGAUCUAGCCAUGGGCAGGUUGAAGGUUGGGUAACACUAACUGGAGGACCGAACCGACUAAUGUUGAAAAAUUAGCGGAUGACCUGUGGCUGGGGGUGAAAGGCCAAUCAAACCGGGAGAUAGCUGGUUCUCCCCGAAAGCUAUUUAGGUAGCGCCUCGUGAAUUCAUCUCCGGGGGUAGAGCACUGUUUCGGCUAGGGGGCCAUCCCGGCUUACCAACCCGAUGCAAACUGCGAAUACCGGAGAAUGUUAUCACGGGAGACACACGGCGGGUGCUAACGUCCGUCGUGAAGAGGGAAACAACCCAGACCGCCAGCUAAGGUCCCAAAGUCAUGGUUAAGUGGGAAACGAUGUGGGAAGGCCCAGACAGCCAGGAUGUUGGCUUAGAAGCAGCCAUCAUUUAAAGAAAGCGUAAUAGCUCACUGGUCGAGUCGGCCUGCGCGGAAGAUGUAACGGGGCUAAACCAUGCACCGAAGCUGCGGCAGCGACGCUUAUGCGUUGUUGGGUAGGGGAGCG